rnacentral:rRNA from 1 species
GAUGAACGCUAGCUACAGGCUUAACACAUGCAAGUCGAGGGGAAACGACAUCGAAAGCUUGCUUUUGAUGGGCGUCGACCGGCGCACGGGUGAGUAACGCGUAUCCAACCUGCCCAUCACUUGGGAAUAACCUUGCGAAAGUAAGACUAAUACCCAAUGAUAUCCCACGAAGGCAUCGGAAUGGGAUUAAAGAUUUAUCGGUGAUGGAUGGGGGUGCGUCUGAUUAGCUUGUUGGCGGGGUAACGGCCCACCAAGGCAACGAUCAGUAGGGGUUCUGAGAGGAAGGUCCCCCACAUUGGAACUGAGACACGGUCCAAACUCCUACGGGAGGCAGCAGUGAGGAAUAUUGGUCAAUGGGCGAGAGCCUGAACCAGCCAAGUAGCGUGCAGGAAGACGGCCCUAUGGGUUGUAAACUGCUUUUAUAAGGGAAUAAAGUGGGUCACGUGUGACUUUUUGCAUGUACCUUAUGAAUAAGGACCGGCUAAUUCCGUG